AGCAGUAGCCGCGGUAAUACAGAGGGUGCGAGCGUUAAUCGGAUUUACUGGGCGUAAAGCGUGCGUAGGCGGCUUCUUAAGUCGGAUGUGAAAUCCCUGAGCUUAACUUAGGAAUUGCAUUCGAUACUGGGAAGCUAGAGUAUGGGAGAGGAUGGUAGAAUUCCAGGUGUAGCGGUGAAAUGCGUAGAGAUCUGGAGGAAUACCGAUGGCGAAGGCAGCCAUCUGGCCUAGUACUGACGCUGAGGUACGAAAGCAUGGGGAGCAAACAGGAUUAGAUACCCCAGUAGUCCCUGUCUCUUAUAC
rnacentral:rRNA from 1 species